UUUUUAAGAUCACGAUCCGGUUCGGAAUGCUUAAAGACCCGAGCAGAACGGGCUCAGCGAGGCUCGGUUCGGCACUGGCAGACGAGAAGGAAUAUAUUUGGUCAUUUGAUACAGAUCAAAAAUAAAAACACUUUAUGGGAUUGAAAAUGACACCUGAUAAAUAAAUUUUCACAAAGUUAA